AAUAGAUACCCUGGUAGUCCACGCCGUAAACGAUGAGUGCUAAGUGUUAGGGGGUUUCCGCCCCUUAGUGCUGCAGCUAACGCAUUAAGCACUCCGCCUGGGGAGUACGGCCGCAAGGCUGAAACUCAAAGGAAUUGACGGGGGCCCGCACAAGCGGUGGAGCAUGUGGUUUAAUUCGAAGCAACGCGAAGAACCUUACCAGGUCUUGACAUCCUCUGACAAUCCUAGAGAUAGGACGUUUCCCUUCGGGGAACAGAGUGACAGGUGGUGCAUGGUUGUCGUCAGCUCGUGUCGUGGGAUGUUGGGUUAAGUCCCGCAACGAGCGCAACCCUUGAUCUUAGUUGCCAGCAUUCAGUUGGGCACUCUAAGGUGACUGCCGGUGACAAACCGGAGGAAGGUGGGGAUGACGUCAAAUCAUCAUGCCCCUUAUGACCUGGGCUACACACGUGCUACAAUGGAUGGUACAAAGGGCUGCAAGACCGCGAGGUUUAGCCAAUCCCAUAAAACCAUUCUCAGUUCGGAUUGCAGG
rnacentral:rRNA from 1 species